AGAGUUUGAUCCUGGCUCAGGACGAACGCUGGCGGCGUGCCUAACACAUGCAAGUCGAACGAAGCUUGAUUUCUGAUUUUUUCGGAAUGACGAAUGAUAUGACUGAGUGGCGGACGGGUGAGUAACGCGUGAGCAACCUGCCCUUCGGAACGGGAUAGUGUCUGGAAACGGACAGCUAAUACCGUAUAACAUAUAUUGAUCGCAUGGUCGAUAUAUCAAAACUGAGGUGCCGAAGGAUGGGCUCGCGUCUGAUUAGAUAGUUGGUGGGGUAACGGCCUACCAAGUCGACGAUCAGUAGCCGGACUGAGAGGUUGAACGGCCACAUUGGGACUGAGACACGGCCCAGACUCCUACGGGAGGCAGCAGUGGGGAAUAUUGCACAAUGGGGGAAACCCUGAUGCAGCAACGCCGCGUGAAGGAAGACGGUUUUCGGAUUGUAAACUUCUGUUCUUAGUGAAGAAUAAUGACGGUAGCUAAGGAGCAAGCCACGGCUAACUACGUGCCAGCAGCCGCGGUAAUACGUAGGUGGCAAGCGUUGUCCGGAAUUACUGGGUGUAAAGGGAGCGUAGGCGGGAUGCCAAGUCAGCUGUGAAAACUAUGGGCUUAACUUGUAGACUGCAGUUGAAACUGGUAUUCUUGAGUGAAGUGCAGAGGUUGGCGGAAUUCCGAGUGUAGCGGUGAAAUGCGUAGAUAUUCGGAGGAACACCGGUGGCGAAGGCGGCCAACUGGGCUUUAACUGACGCUGAGGCUCGAAAGUGUGGGGAGCAAACAGGAUUAGAUACCCUGGUAGUCCACACUGUAAACGAUGAUAACUAGGUGUGGGGGGUCUGACCCCUUCCGUGCCGCAGCUAACGCAAUAAGUUAUCCACCUGGGGAGUACGACCGCAAGGUUGAAACU
rnacentral:rRNA from 1 species